AGCACCCGAACGAAACUGGAAACUUGACCUGACUCAAGCGAACCCUACUCAGCACUGGAAACUUGACCUGACUCAAGCGAACCCUACGGAGCUAGAAAGAGCGUAAGCCUUAUAAUAUCCUAUAGACUUAAGUACUUAGCGCUGGAAACCAUGAUUGAGAGCGCAGAGGAAACUAAGGAAUUCCAAGAAUGACCCUUCCCUUUAGUGCCGAGCCCACUCCACUCAAAGAUUGAUUGAUGAACGGAAGCCUCCCAUGAUAUUCUCAGGAUCAGAUGAGUCAGCAGCUCGAAAUG
rnacentral:lncRNA from 1 species